rnacentral:rRNA from 1 species
AGUCGAGCGGGAAGGUAGCUUGCUACCUGACCUAGCGGCGGAUGGAGAGUAAUGCUUAUGAUUCUGCCUAUUAGUGGGGGACAUCAUUCCGAGAGGAAUGCUACUACCGACUACCCCCUAGAGGGGAAAGCAGAGGCUCUCACCUUGCUGCUCAUUAGAUGAACCUCGGAUUAACUAGCUGGUGGGCGAGAGGCCUACCAAGGCGAGAAUCUGUCUCGGGUCUGAGAAGAUGAUCCCCCACCCCGGCACUGAGACACGGCCCAGACUCCUACGGGAGGCACCAGUGGGGAAUAUUGGACAAUGGCGGGGAACCCUGAUCCAGCCAUGCCGCGUGUGGUGAAGAAGGCCUUAUGGUUGUAAAGCACUUUAAGCGAGGAGGAGGCUACUGAUACUAAUACUCUUGCGAUAGUGGACGUUACUCGCAGAAUAAGCACCGGCUAACUCUGUGGCAGCAGCCGCGGUAAUACAGAAUGGUGCGAGCGUUAAUCGGAUAUUCUUGUGCGUAAAGCGUGCGCAGGCGGCUUUUUUAAUUCUGAUGUUGAAAUUCCCGAGCUUAACUUUGGGAAUUGCAUUCGAUACUGGGAAGCUAGAGUAUUGG